ensembl:piRNA 21ur-9455 ncRNA
UGAUUGUACUGCUUUACAGAU